AUAAUAACGUUGUUCGCAUGAACAACGCUUAAAAGAUGGCUUCUCGCUAUCACUUCUGGAUGGACCUGCGGUGCAUUAGCUUGUUGGUGGGGUAACGGCCUACCAAGGCGAUGAUGCAUAGCCGAGUUGAGAGACUGAUCGGCCACAAUGGGACUGAGACACGGCCCAUACUCCUACGGGAGGCAGCAGUAGGGAAUCUUCCACAAUGGGCGCAAGCCUGAUGGAGCAACACCGCGUGAGUGAAGAAGGGUUUCGGCUCGUAAAGCUCUGUUGUUAAAGAAGAACACGUAUGAGAGUAACUGUUCAUACGUUGACGGUAUUUAACCAGAAAGUCACGGCUAACUACGUGCCAGCAGCCGCGGUAAUACGUAGGUGGCAAGCGUUAUCCGGAUUUAUUGGGCGUAAAGAGAGUGCAGGCGGUUUUCUAAGUCUGAUGUGAAAGCCUUCGGCUUAACCGGAGAAGUGCAUCGGAAACUGGAUAACUUGAGUGCAGAAGAGGGUAGUGGAACUCCAUGUGUAGCGGUGGAAUGCGUAGAUAUAUGGAAGAACACCAGUGGCGAAGGCGGCUACCUGGUCUGCA
rnacentral:rRNA from 1 species